AUUUAGGAAAUACUAUCAGAAAGUCCUUCAAAAGACCAAAGGGCAACCGAUGGCUCAAGGGUUUGUUGCUUCACCAGCCUUGAAAAGGACGGCUAGUCCGAAAUCCUCUCCACCUGGAGGCAACCUUCAGCGCCUUCUCUGUCAUGCGGAGACCAGACUUGCUGGAAUCGAAUACAUAACCACCAGGAUGAUAGCAGACACCCUUGGUUCCCCUUAAGAGAUGCAUCCUUGACACAGAACUGAGCUCUUGUCUGCCUGAUUCCCAGGAAUGAUUUUGCACUGGCUCUUCAUAUACUUUUCAUACUUUGGAAAACUUUCGGUGUGUUUAGCUACUGCUGUGGAACAAACCAACUACAUUUCAGUGAGUUAAUGUCAAAAGCGUGUAUCUUUGCUCAUGGGUCUCUAGGUCAGCAGGACAGUUCUUCUGGGCUCAGCUGGGCUCAGGCACGCAUUCCUGUGGUCAGCUGUCAGUAGGGAAGAGUUGGUUCUGCAGAUCGUGGCUGGAUUCUCUCACAUGGUUCAGAAUCAGCUGGUUGCCGGCAGGUUGAGGAUGGCCUCAGCAAGGAUAGCUGGGACCUCUUCCACAUGAUCUUCCGGUCCAUCUGCUGAGCUGGGUUUGUUCACAUGGCAGGCGCAGAGUUCCGAGAGAGACAAUGGAAGCACACGGGGCCACUGAAGUCUAGUGGGGUCUGGCACAUCAUUAUUUUCACCGCAUUCUAUCGGCCAAAAUAAGUCACAAGGUCAGCCUGACAGGCAAAAUAGAUUACACCACUUGAAGGGGAGAGCUUCACAGAGCCUCUGAGGGAGGGGUAGAGUACUGAGAACGCUUUUAAAAUUAAAUUAACGCACCCGCCCACGUGGAAAAGCUAGCCCACCCCUCUUGCUUUGACAAGGAAAAUUUUCUUAAAUCUAGACUCUGGCUUUGAGCCCUGGAUUUGGUUCAAUGCCUUUCACAAUCCAGAUGUAAAUCUUUGAAAACAUGGUCCAUCAUUUAAUUCUUGCUGUUCAGAUCUUCUCUCAAAUGUAGAAGUGGAUCAGCUGGCCCCAAAUAGAGAAAAUAAUAAAUUUUAAAACUCUGUUAUGUGGAUUCUAAUGCUUCCGUUCAUCAGAAUACACCUUUCCUUCUGCAGUGUUUUUUACUUAAAAUAGAUUAGGAAACAAAAACUCACAAACCAAACCUCUGGUUCUUCUUCAAAUUAGCCCAGAAGUAGAAUUCUCGCUUGAUUUCAACAAGCUUUCUACUAGUAUUACUGAUUACUAUUAUCGUUAUUAGUUCUUUGCUCUGUGGUCUAUUCUAGAUGAGAAAGUUUCAUUACCUCAUGUAUACUGGUAACUAAGUUGCUUCAAUUAAUAAAGCAAGGAAGUUUUGCAAGAAAAAUUAUGGAUGGUUUCUUCCCCCUUCAGAGCCAAGAAAGGUUAUUUAGCACCUAGAAUCUCUACUCUCUGGAAUUCAGCAAUUUCUUCAUGUUUCGGAAUGAAAUUAUCAUUUUUCUUUUUGAAUCAGAGUGAAUUUUCUCCUCCAAGACCUCAGGAGAACACUUUUCAUUUGAUAUUUCAGGAUGUCUUCUCCAAGGACAACAGCCUGCCUCUGGCGGCCACCAGUUUCCUAGCCUCCACAGGCAUUCUAACUCUCAGUGUAAUUUUUCACAUGAACAGUUUCUAAAGGAGUAAACAACUUUACAUAACUCUUGCACAUUCAUUUCUCCAGAAAUUUGCCAUUUGUCUCUCAGGAGAAACUCUGCUGCUUUCACUGAGGCCCCAUGUAGGCUGCAGAGCAAGGAAUUUUUAUGUAAAAAUGAGAGAAGACUGUCCUAAGGGACGUGCAAAUGGUUCAUAAAACCUUUCUUUGUCCUCUCCCCUUUCCAUGUUUACUUUAAAUACUUUUAGUUAGUAAAGUCUUAUUUUCAAAUAUUUAUGCAAAAAAAACUGCUGGAAAAGACUGAGUUUAAUUACAAUGCAUUCUUGUUAAUAGUUUGUAAAGGGCCACUGGCCCUUCUGAGCUUUUCUUUCAUGGUUGAUUAAUGGAUACACUAGAUGGAAAGAUUCAGUUGACCAAAGGGGAUAUUUUCGAUAAAGGCUUUUAAUCUUACAAACCUCACUUCUGAAUUUCCCUUAAGGGGUAAAGGGGCUCUGGCUCUUAUAUGAGGCAAUAAUCCUUUACCAUGGUGGCUAAACAAUAAAAAACAGGUAGGGCCGGCGUGGUGGCUUAGUGGCUAAAUUCUUGUGCUCUGUUCAGCGACCUGGGGUUCGCUGGUUCGGAUCCUGGGCGCGGACCUAAGCACUGCUUGUCAAGCCACGCUGUGGCAGGCGUCCCACAUAUAAAGUAGAGGAAGAUGGGCACAAAUGUUAGCUCAGGGCCAGUCUUCCUCAGCAAAAAGAGGAGGAUUGGAAGCGGAUGUUAACUCAGGGUUAGUCUUCCUCAAAAAAAAAAAAAAAGGUAAAAAUAGAAACAAGAAACAACAACUGUAAUAUUCAUGUUAGCGUUCCUUGCUCCUCCCCCAUGACCUCAUUCUCCGAAACCUUAAUUUCUCAAGAGAUAAAGCGCUGAAGUUAAUCUAGCCAAAGGCACACAGAUUCAUCAGUGUAGCUUCUGCCUUGAAUGCCUGCUUGCUUUUCUAUCCCAGAGAAGCGAGUCUGAGCUCCACCUCUCUUUGUCGAGCCACCACCUAGAAGUCCUCCUAGCACGUUGCCUCCACUGGGCCUGACCUACCGCUCUGUUAAGUCUCUUUCUCAUCAUAAUUGCAGCUAAGCUUUUUGAGCUCUUACUGCAUGCCAGGGAGAAGAGUUGAACUGGAUCUCCAAGUGUGUGACUACUUGACGGCUUUUGCUUUAGAGUGAGAUGCUGAGAAACCAGUUCCAAGUGGAGGGCAACCACUCCCUCACAACUGCCUUAUUUCUGCCAAACAGGUCUUUUGAUUUCUUUCAGGAAGGACUGCUUAUUGUUAG
rnacentral:lncRNA from 1 species